UGCCAGCAGCCGCGGUAAUACGGAGGGUCCGAGCGUUAAUCGGAAUUACUGGGCGUAAAGCGUGCGUAGGCGGUUCAUUAAGUCAGAUGUGAAAUCCCGGAGCUCAACUCCGGAACUGCAUUUGAAACUGGUGAACUAGAGUAUUGUAGAGGGUGGUGGAAUUUCCAGUGUAGCGGUGAAAUGCGUAGAUAUCAGAAGGAACACCAGUGGCGAAAGCGGCUCACUGGACCACAUCUGACGCUGAGGUGCGAAAGCUAGGGUAGCGAACGGGAUUAGAUA
rnacentral:rRNA from 1 species